GGAGAUGCAGCUCAGUGGUAGAGCCCCUGCUUAGCAUGCAUGAGGCCCUGGGUUCCAUCCCAAGCAUCACCA
rnacentral:tRNA from 1 species